ACGUAGGGUCCAAGCGUUGUCCGGAUUUACUGGGCGUAAAGGGCGCGUAGGCGGCCUCCGCAAGUCAGUUGUGAAAUCUCCGAGCUUAACUCGGAAAGGUCAACUGAUACUGCGGGGCUAGAGUGCGGAAGGGGCAACUGGAAUUCUCGGUGUAGCGGUGAAAUGCGUAGAUAUCGAGAGGAACACCUGCGGCGAAGGCGGGUUGCUGGGCUGACACUGACGCUGAACUGCGAAAGCUAGGGGAGCGAACGGGA
rnacentral:rRNA from 1 species